GAUGAAGGGAGGAAACCGAAGUACCCGGAACAAACCCAUCCAGCACAGGGAGAACGUGCAAACUCCACGCACACAGACCCAAGGUGCAACUCGAACCCUGGACCCUGGAGAGGUGAAGCAUCUCACCCCAAAGUGACCCAUUCAGCAGACCUCAAAGAAGAGUGUAGAUUUGUUCUGCUGGGAGGUGAUGACUUUGUAAAGUACACUGCAUGCAACUUCAUCCUUAGGGAUGAGCAGCCGCAACAAGUAUCUGAUAUGGAUGAUUGGGAAGUGAAGAGGAACUCGGUGCUAGGAAGACAUGUCACUGUGGCAGUUAGUCCUUCUCCUUGGAUGGAGCGCUUAAAAUCAACCUUAAUUUUUUCCAGAGAAGUCAAAAAAAUAAAAAAGGACAUGAAGAAAUGUGUAUCAGAGGUGUUCCCUGGGCCUCAUGCUUUCCUUUUGAUAAUUAAAGAUGGACGUGAACCUGGAAAAGCUCGUUACCUUUUAAAAGCAGUCGCUUCUGUGUUUGGGAAGGAGGCCUUAGACUACAGCAUGGUGCUGUUUAUUGGAGGAGCUGGAGUAUUGCAGUCAGAUCCUGCCUCGAUGAAGUGUGUGAAGAUGUGUGGGAGAAGGCAUCACUUUUUAAAGGACACUGAUAACAGUGUUCAGGAACUUUUCAGCAAAGUUGAGAAUAUGGUGGCUAAGACAAAGAAUAAGUUCUUCAUUCCAUCAGCCUAUGCAGAGUUUAUGGAAGCUGGUUUUGAAUCAUGGGAAAAGAAAAAAAUUUUAGAUAUAAAGGUACUACUGGCUCAAUGUGAGGACGAGAAAGACAAGCUUGUUAAAGAACUAAGAGAACAGAAUGACCUACUAAAAAGAUUUAUUUUCCAGCAAAAAACAAAUCGUCUUCCCCAAUUAGAGAGUGAGGUUACAAAGAAGGACAGUGAGAUGAAAUGUGACAACAAAAAGCAAAAACCACAAGUCACUGAAGAAAGGAAUCGCAGGGGCAGCAAAGACACAUUUCUUCCAAAUGUUUUCCCUGAAUGAAUUUGGCUUUGGCAUAUAUUAUGUGGCUGCUUAAGACCGCAGGCAGAAGAGAUCACAUGGAGGCGGCUUAAGUGCAUAUAUACAGUAUAUAUAUAUAUAUAUAU